rnacentral:tRNA from 1 species
ACGGGUUUAGCUCAGUUGGUAGAGCACUGGUCUCCAAAACCAGGUGUCGGGAGUUCGAGUCUCUCAAUCCGUG